rnacentral:rRNA from 1 species
CCUACGGGUGGCAGCAGUGGGGAAUAUUGGACAAUGGGCGAAAGCCUGAUCCAGCCAUGCCGCGUGUGUGAAGAAGGCCUUCGGGUUGUAAAGCACUUUCAGUGGGGAAGAAAGCCUUGGGGCUAAUACCCUCGAGGAAGGACAUCACCCACAGAAGAAGCACCGGCUAACUCCGUGCCAGCAGCCGCGGUAAUACGGAGGGUGCGAGCGUUAAUCGGAAUUACUGGGCGUAAAGCGCGCGUAGGCGGUCUGAUAAGCCGGUUGUGAAAGCCCCGGGCUCAACCUGGGAACGGCAUCCGGAACGGUCAGGCUAGAGGGCAGGAGAGGAAGGUGAAAUUCCCGGGGUAGCGGGGAAAUGCGUAGAGAUCGGGAGGAAUACCAGUGGCGAAGGCGGCCUUCUGGACUGACACUGACGCUGAGGUGCGAAAGCGUGGGUAGCAAACAGGAUUAGAUACCCUAGAGUC